rnacentral:rRNA from 1 species
GAUCAUGGCUCAGGAUGAACGCUAGCGACAGGCUUAACACAUGCAAGUCGAGGGGCAGCACAGGGUAGCAAUACUUGGGUGGCGACCGGCGCACGGGUGAGUAACGCGUAUGCAACUUACCUAUCAGAGGGGGAUAGCCCGGCGAAAGUCGGGAUUAAUACCCCAUGAAACAGGGUCCCGCAUGGGAAUAUUGUUAAGAUUCAUCGCUGAUAGAUAGGCAUGCGUUCCAUUAGG